CCUACGGGUGGCAGCAGUGGGGAAUAUUGCACAAUGGGGGAAACCCUGAUGCAGCGACGCCGCGUGAGUGAAGAAGUAUUUCGGUAUGUAAAGCUCUAUCAGCAGGGAAGAAAAUGACGGUACCUGAUUAAGAAGCCCCGGCUAACUACGUGCCAGCAGCCGCGGUAAUACGUAGGGGGCAAGCGUUAUCCGGAUUGACUGGGUGUAAAGGGGGCGUAGACGGCAGCACAAGUCAGGAGUGAAAUGCCGAGGCUUAACCCAGGAACUGCUUUGGAAACUGUGCAUCUAGAGUGCAGGAGAGGUAAGGGGAAUUCCUAGUGUAGCGGGGAAAUGCGGAGGUAUUAGGAGGAACACCA
rnacentral:rRNA from 1 species